GGGUCAAUGAUGAGAACUUACAUUGUCUUGAAGAGAGAUGAUGACUUGUAAAAAAAAAAAAAGAAAGAGAAUACAUGAAAUCA